rnacentral:miRNA from 2 species
CACCGAUCGUUGGCGACUCAGG